CUCAGACAGGACCCCCUCCCCUGCUUGGCAUCCUGGCAGGGAGGCAGGAACCCAUUUUGGUUUUCCUUUGAGGACUGAGGGAGGGGGUGAGAGGUUAGCCUCUCAGCCCGGCAAAUGGCUCUCUGGCCUGCUCUUCCAGGAGGCAUUUCCACAAUGACUAUGCAAACUUGACCACUCUUCCCCUCCUCCCCCCAGCGGCCACUCCUCAGUCCUCUGAGAAGCCAGGCUGCCCCUUGCUGGUUUCUUGGGGCCGCCUGGGCUGCCUGUUUUCCCCCAGCUCCUCAGAGGCCUGCAUCCAGCCCCUUUCCUCCUGUCCCUCUGCCUGCCUCCCUGGGGCUUCCCAACCCUCAGCUCCCCUUUCUCCUUGGAGGCCUCUCUCUCGACUUGUUCUAGAAAAGGACCGGCCUUCUAGGAAAGGGGCCACUGCCGUGGGGGCAGGCGAGGGGUGAGCCCUUCCAGACCACCCCAAAAACUCUCUUCCCCAUGGCACCCGGGCCUGAGGCUUUGCAGGAGCAGGUCAGGCCGGCUGCACUGGUUUGCCAGUGCCGGGAAAGCUAGCCAGGGUGUGGGAGAAGUGCUCUGGGGCCCCUUUCCCAAGUGCUUCUUGCUGCAAAAGGCCUAGCUUAGCCUGUCUCUUUCUAUGCACAGGAUAGCUCUUGCUCACCCAGCCUCACAAAGAUAAUCGCUCAGGAAGUGUUUCAGCCAAUCCGGGGCGGCUUUACACUCCGAUUGGCCGGGGCAGCCAAUCGGGGAUGAGCUUUUAUUAGGCGGCCAGAUCAUCAGCCGAAGUGCCAAACCCUUUUUCUGUGAGAACUAGGAGCCUGUCCUCCAUGUUUUAUAAGUAUUGACAUUACACAGUGUUAACAAUGCAUCCACAGAGCUCCCAUCCUGAAUUCUCUCCUCCCAACAAACCUGGAGCUCUUCUAAACACGUCUCCAUCUUACCCUGGGGUUCCAGGCCUGAGGCUGCCUUUUGGACUCAUCUUUUGCCUGGUCACUGGCCCAGACCACGGAACACAGACAGGACACUCUUCUCCAGCCUUCUUCCUGUCCUGGUUUUGAGUCUUCCAAAUGGAAAAUUCCAGCCAUAUCAAUUGCUUGGCUGAAGAGGAAAUAAAAACAGAACAGGAGGCGGUAGAGGGCAUGGACACUCCUACUCGCUCCAAAGGUGAGUACAAAUCCUGUAUUAUCUAUCCUGGGACUUUCUUUUGUCGUAGAGCAGCGAGUUGUGACUCUGAGACAGCCUUGCGACAAUGAGGGAUCAUGGGAUAUACGUUCUUUGAUGGAUGAGCUGAAUUUCCGGAGAGCUCUGUGGAUGUUUCUUUCCCCCGUGUGGCUGUGUAGGUGUGCGGGCUUGUUGGGAGCUGCCCUUAACAGUAAAUUUUAGGUGUGCAGAUUGAGGAAAGGUGGCUGCCUCUCCCCAGGGGGAUUGUUUCAGGAGUCAGAAUUUACAUGAAGCCACUGGAGUCUGCAGCUGCUGCUGGCUUCCUGAUUUUAGCAGCAGGCCUCAGUGGUCUCAGAAGUGGGAUGACGUGGGCCCAUUUCAUUGGGAGAUGGUGUCUUUGGGUGGAGAUAAAAAGGAAGCAUGGAGCCUUCAGGAAGGCUGGGCCAGUGUUUGCAUUUAGUGCUCACAGGUUGAUAUUUUGUUCAGAGCCUGUAGUGGACUCUGCCAUGCCUUCUCACUGGGGGGGUGAGAGGUUUUAUGGGGCUUCUUUCCUGGAAGGAAGCAGUCCCCCGCUUUUGCCUUGGGGGACUGUAAACCUCGGGAGCAUUUUCCUAUGUUUAGCUGAAGAAAAUGCUCAUCUCCAGACUUAAUGGCCACACCACUGUGUUUUUGUUCCUACAGCUGGCUGUGGGCCUGGGGAGGUGGGAGGAGCUACAGGAAGGGUUAUUACAGAUUCUUCCAGAAGGAGGUUCUCAAUCUGGCCAGAGUGUCACAAAAGGGGGUUGUGAGGAUUUUUAUGACACCAGCUAGGGUCAGAUGGUUAGGGUGGUCAGUGCUGGGGAGCAGCAGCAGGGGAGGAGGAGCCAGGGCUGAGCUUCAGGCCUAAUACCCUCCCCUUAUCACAGCAGACCUAGCCGUGUGGGCCAUCAGGGGGUCCCAUUGCCUCAUUGCUGGCAGCGGUAAAAAGGCACCCCAUGGGGACCUUAAGCAGGAAGUCUGUACCUUCCCAAAUGGUGUUUGAAGACAGCUGACCAGGAGGGAGCUGCAGCCAUGUGGCCACCUCCAGCCCCUUGCUGUAGUCAGGGUCGAAUGAGAGUGGUUGAAGCAUGGUGGCUUCUGGUGGCCCAGAGAGGGGAUGGGGGUGUGGGGGCGCCAUCCUUUUUCUGUUCUGCUUUCUGUCUCUGUUCUUCCCGGUUCUUAUCCAUGAAAUGAGGUGUUGGGUUAUGGCCUAUUUAGGACACCGUUAUAAAAAACAAUAUACCUGUGUCUUGAGGUGUUUCUGAAUGCUGGUGCUCCCUCCUAUAGCUUUCUCUCAGUGAGUCCCAUUCUGAGGUAGGUAGUUGUCCCUCCCACUUUGCAGGUGAGGAAACUGAGGCCAGUGGCAGAGCAAGACUGGACUGAGACUGCCUCUGAGAAGGUGCCACCUUCCUGCAUGUGACUCACAGUCCUGCAGCCCCACAUGGAGGCUAAAGAGGGUAAAGUCAGGGACUGUCUCCAGGCAGGAUGCUGUGUGACACUGCAUGUGUGACUCCUCUUCGAGUGUGGAGUUCUCAUCCAUCACAGAGCGUAUAGUGACUGCUCUGGGUGACCAUCUGCCCUACCUGGGCCUCACUCUGCAGCAGCCAGCACCAUCUCAAAAACUCAGCCGACUCCUUCGGCUGACUUUCCAGCACCCUGAGUCUCUGACAUCAGUGUUACUGUGACCUACGUCCUGCCCUCACUUCCCUUCCCUCUGUGACAACCUGCUCACCUGAAACUAUUUCUCCCUGACCACGCUGCAACCUCCUUGUUCCCUCCUUGGAACCUGUGUGCCCUUUGCCUGGAACAUGCUGUCUCUGGUCCUGGCAGCCUGUUUGUCUUCACCCAUAUCUAUUGCACAAGUUACUCACAGAGCCUUUUGGUGGUCACCUCAUCUGAUGGAAUAAUUCUGCCAUUUUCUGUUAUACUUGGUGUCUGCCUAGUAAGUGUGAGGCCCUGAGUUCAAACCCCAGUGCCACCAAAAAAACCAAAAAUUUUUUUAGCUGGGCACCAGGG